rnacentral:rRNA from 1 species
CCUGCCCUUUGUACACACCGCCCGUCGCUCCUACCGAUUGAAUGGUCCGGUGAAGUGUUCGGAUCGCGGCCUGUGGGCAGUUCGCCGCCGGCGAGUCGCGAGAAGUCCACUGAACCUUAUCAUUUAGAGGAAGGAGAAGUCGUAACAAGGUUUCUGUUGGUGAACCUGCGGAAGGAUCAUUG